AGAGCGCAGGGUGGAUGCCUUGGCACUAAGAGCCGAUGAAAGACGUGAUAAGCUGCGAAAAGCUUCGGGGAGGAGCAAAUAUCCUUUGAUCCGGAGAUCUCUGAAUGGGGAAACCUACUUGAGUGCACCUCAAGUGACGUAUGGUGAAUACAUAGCCAUACGCCGGGAACCCGGUGAACUGAAACAUCUAAGUAGCCGGAGGAAGAGAAAGAAACAUCGAUUCCGAAAGUAGCGGCGAGCGAAAUUGGAAGAGCCCAAACCGGAAUGCGUGCAUUCCGGGGUUAAGGACCACGUUAUGUGACCCGUAUGGUAAUGGAACAGUCUGGGAAGUCAGACCAGAGAGGGUGAAAGUCCCGUACAUGAAACCAGAAGGGAGCUAGUGGGAUCCAGAGUACUGCGAGACACGUGGAACCUUGCAGGAAGUCGGGGGGACCACCCCCCAAGGCUAAAUACUCCUUAGUGACCGAUAGCGCAUAGUACUGUGAAGGAAAGGUGAAAAGGACCCCGGGAGGGGAGUGAAAGAGAACCUGAAACCCUGUGUUUACAAGCUGUGGAAGCACGUUAAGGUGCGACCGCGUACUUUUUGUAGAACGGUCCGGCGAGUUGCGGAUGCUGGCAAGGUUAAGCACUUUAGGUGCGGAGCCGAAGCGAGAGCAAGUCUGAAUAGGGCGUCAAGUCAGCAUGUGCAGACCCGAAACCGGGUGAUCUAUCCAUGUCCAGGUUGAAGCGAAAGUAAAAUUUCGUGGAGGACCGAACGCACAUCCGUUGAAAAGGGUGGCGAUGAGGUGUGGAUAGGGGAGAAAUUCCAAUCGAACCCGGAGAUAGCUGGUUCUCCUCGAAAUAGCUUUAGGGCUAGCCUCAUACAAGUCUUGCGGAGGUAGAGCACUGAAUUCCUAAGGGGGCGUCAAAGCUUACCAAGGGAUAUCAAACUCCGAAUGCCGCAUAAAUGAUGUACGGGAGUCAGACUGCACGAGAUAAGUUGGGUAGUCAAAAGGGAAAGAGCCCAGACCUACAGCUAAGGUCCCAAAGUGUGUGUUAAGUGGAAAAGGAUGUGGGAUUUCGAAGACAACUAGGAUGUUGGCUCAGAAGCAGCCAUACAUUCAAAGAGUGCGUAAUAGCUCACUAGUCGAGAGGUCCUGCGCCGAAAAUGUCCGGGGCUGAAACACAACACCGAAGCUCAGGAAUGUAUUUAUACAUUGGUAGAGGAGCAUUCUUAAAGGGGCGAAGCAGUACCGAUAAGGAGCUGUGGACUUUUAAGAAGAGAGAAUGCCGGAAUGAGUAGCGAGAUGGAGGUGGGAAUCCUCCAGGCCGAAUAUCUAAGGUUUCCAGGGUAAAGCUGAUCUGCCCUGGGUAAGUCGGGGCCUAAGGCAAGGCUGAGAAGCGUAGCUGAUGGACAACAGGUUUAGAUUCCUGUACCACAUGGUAUCAGAACUGUGGGGACGCAGAGGGAUAAGAUGACCGGGGAACAGAACCCUGGGCAAGCGUAGGAGGUGUCAGGCAGGCAAAUCCGUCUGACAAGCCAAAGGCGUGACGCGGACCGAACUAAAGUAGGGAAGCAUCCGAUUCCAGCUGCCGAGAAAAGCCGCUAUUGUGUACCAUGUGCCCGUACCGUAAACCGACACAGGUGGAUGAGGAGAGAAUCCUAAGGCCGGCGGGAGAAGCAUUGUUAAGGAACUCGGCAAAAUGACCCCGUAACUUCGGGAUAAGGGGUGCCAGAGAGAUCUGGCCGCAGAGAAUAGGCUCAAGCAACUGUUUAGCAAAAACACAGGUCUAUGCGAAACCGAAAGGUGAGGUAUAUGGGCUGACGCCUGCCCGGUGCUGGAAGGUUAAGAGGAGAGGUUAGAGCAAUCGAAGCUUUGAAUUGAAGCCCCAGUAAACGGCGGCCGUAACUAUAACGGUCCUAAGGUAGCGAAAUUCCUUGUCGGGUAAGUUCCGACCCGCACGAAAGGCGUAAUGAUUUGAGCGCUGUCUCGACAAUGCACCCGGUGAAAUUGAAAUACCAGUGAAGAUGCUGGUUACCUGCGCCAGGACGGAAAGACCCCAUGGAGCUUUACUCCAGCUUGAUACUGGGAUUCGAUAUUGCAUGUACAGGAUAGGUGGGAGACUGAGAACUGAUGACGCCAGUUGUCAGGGAGUCACUGUUGGGAUACCACCCUUGUAGUAUUGGAUUUCUAACCAGCAGCCGUGAUCCGGCUGGGGGACAAUGUCAGGUGGGGAGUUUGACUGGGGCGGUCGCCUCCGAAAGGGUAUCGGAGGCGCUCAAAGGU
rnacentral:rRNA from 1 species